rnacentral:rRNA from 1 species
UACGAAGGGGGCUAGCGUUGCUCGGAAUCACUGGGCGUAAAGCGCACGUAGGCGGCUUUUUAAGUCAGGGGUGAAAUCCUGGAGCUCAACUCCAGAACUGCCUUUGAUACUGGGUAUCUCGAGUCCGAGAGAGGUGAGUGGAAUUCCGAGUGUAGAGGUGAAAUUCGUAGAUAUCCGGAGGAACACCGGUGGCGAAGGCGGCUUCCUGGACCGACACUGACGCUGAGGCGCGAAAGCUAGGGGAGCAAACAGG